rnacentral:rRNA from 1 species
AUGAUGCUCUACGAAAUCCACUCCCAUGCCCAAAUCCAAGACCUGCAGGCCCGCUCCGAUGAGCUGGGCCACUCCAAUAAGUCCAUGCUUGUGAAGCUUGUCUCUCUGGAGUCGGUGCGCAUAGCGUGCGAGUCGUAUGCACUCCUCCGCCCGCUGAUCAUGGAGUCGUGGAUGUGGGUAUGCUCGCAGCUGGAAAUCCUCUCGGACGUGGCAGGCUUGUCGGUGGAAAUCCAAAAGCUCGAGCAUGAUGUGUUACCCCAGCUCAUGGUUCAGGAGGCCAAGCUGGAACCGGGCGCCCUGGAAGCCCUCCUACUCAUGAAGAACUCAGCUGUUGCGCUCUUACAUAUAUAUAUGAGGAAGUGCUUUAAGGAAGCCUUGGGCGUAUUGCUUCGCGAGGAUUAUGUGGUCUCAGCCAAAGUCAAAAAGCUGAGCAAAAUGCUAAAGGAUAUUGCUGUCCCGUUGCUUCAGGAGCGUGAGUGCAACAUUGUCUGGCUUCAGGAGCGUGUCCCGUUGCUGGUCCAGCUGGUCACCGAUGUGUUGGAGACCCCGGUUCAUUUCUGUGAUUCUGAUGAGUCUUCUGAUGAGUAUUCUGAUGAGUAG